UGGGGAAUAUUGGACAAUGGGCGAAAGCCUGAUCCAGACAUGCCGCAUGAGUGAAGAAGGCCUUUGGGUUGUAAAGCUCUUUUAGUGAGGAAGAUAAUGACGGUACUCACAGAAGAAGUCCUGGCUAACUCCGUGCCAGCAGCCGCGGUAAUACGGAGAGGGCUAGCGCUAUACGGAAUUAUUGGGCGUAAAGGGCGCGUAGGCGGAUUAGUAAGUUAAAAGUGAAAUCCCAAGGCUCAACCUUGGAAUUGCUUUUAAAACUGCUAAUCUAGAGAUUGAAAGAGGAUAGAGGAAUUCCUAGUGUAGAGGUGAAAUUCGUAAAUAUUAGGAGGAACGCCAGUGGCGAAGGCGUCUAUCUGGUUCAAAUCUGACGCUGAGGCGCGAAGGCGCGGGGAGCAAACA
rnacentral:rRNA from 1 species